UUUCCGUAGGUGAACCUGCGGAAGGAUCAUUACUGAGUGAGGGCCCUCUGGGUCCAACCUCCCACCCGUGUUCAUUAUACCUUGUUGCUUCGGUGAGCCCGCCUCACGGCCGCCGGGGGGCAUCUGCCCCCGGGCCCGCGCCCACCGAAGACACCUAGAACUCUGUAUGAAGAUUGCAGUCUGAGCAAAAACUAAAUAAGUUAAAACUUUCAACAACGGAUCUCUUGGUUCCG
rnacentral:misc_RNA from 1 species